UACGUAGGUGGCAAGCGUUGUCCGGAAUUAUUGGGCGUAAAGCGCGCGCAGGCGGUCCUUUAAGUCUGAUGUGAAAGCCCACGGCUCAACCGUGGAGGGUCAUUGGAAACUGGUCGACUUGAGUGCAGAAGAGGGAAGUGGAAUUCCAUGUGUAGCGGUGAAAUGCGUAGAGAUAUGGAGGAACACCAGUGGCGAAGGCGGCUUCCUGGUCUGUAACUGACACUGAGGCGCGAAAGCGUGGGGAGCAAACAGG
rnacentral:rRNA from 1 species